GCGGUAAUACAGAGGGUGCAAGGUUAAUCGGAUUUACUGGGCGUAAAGCGCGCGUAGGUGGCCAAUUAAGUCAAAUGUGAAAUCCCCGAGCGGUAACUUGGGAAUUGCAUUCGAUACUGGUUGGCUAGAGUAUGGGAGAGGAUGGUAGAAUUCCAGGUGUAGCGGUGAAAUGCGUAGAGAUCUGGAGGAAUACCGAUGGCGAAGGCAGCCAUCUGGCCUAAUACUGACACUGAGGUGCGAAAGCAUGGGGAGCAAACAGGAUUAGAUACCCUGGUAGUCCAUGCCGUAAACGAUGUCUACUAGCCGUUGGGGCCUUUGAGGCUUUAGUGGCGCAGCUAACGCGAUAAGUAGACCGCCUGGGGAGUACGGUCGCAAUGCUAAAACUCAAAUGAAUUGACGGGGGCCCGCACAAGCGGUGGAGCAUGUGGUUUAAUUCGAUGCAACGCGAAGAACCUUACCUGGUCUUGACAUAGUAAGAACUUUCCAGAGAUGGAUUGGUGCCUUCGGGAACUUACAUACACGUGCUGCAUGGCUGUCGUCAGCUCGUGUCGUGAGAUGUUGGGUUAAGUCCCGCAACGAGCGCAACCCUUUUCCUUAUUUGCCAGCGGGUUAAGCCGGGAACUUUAAGGAUACUGCCAGUGACAAACUGGAGGAAGGCGGGACGACGUCAAGUCAUCAUGGCCCUUACGACCAGG
rnacentral:rRNA from 1 species